rnacentral:rRNA from 1 species
UAGGGAAUCUUCGGCAAUGGGGGGAACCCUGACCGAGCAACGCCGCGUGAGUGAAGAAGGUUUUCGGAUCGUAAAGCUCUGUUGUUAAGGAAGAACGAGUGUGAGAAUGGAAAGUUCAUACUGUGACGGUACUUAACCAGAAAGGGACGGCUAACUACGUGCCAGCAGCCGCGGUAAUACGUAGGUCCCGAGCGUUGUCCGGAUUUAUUGGGCGUAAAGCGAGCGCAGGCGGUUAGAUAAGUCUGAAGUUAAAGGCAGUGGCUCAACCAUUGUAGGCUUUAGAAACUGUUUAACUUGAGUGCAAAAGGGGAGAGUGGAAUUCCAUGUGUAGCGGUGAAAUGCGUAGAUAUAUGGAGGAACACCGGUGGCGAAAGCGGCUCGCUGGUCUGUAACUGACGCUGAGGCUCGAAAGCGUGGGGAGCGAACAGG